rnacentral:rRNA from 1 species
GAUGAACGCUGGCGGCGUGCCUAAUACAUGCAAGUCGAGCGAAUGGAUUAAGAGCUUGCUCUUAUGAAGUUAGCGGCGGACGGGUGAGUAACACGUGGGUAACCUGCCCAUAAGACUGGGAUAACUCCGGGAAACCGGGGCUAAUACCGGAUAACAUUUUGAACCGCAUGGUUCGAAAUUGAAAGGCGGCUUCGGCUGUCACUUAUGGAUGGACCCGCGUCGCAUUAGCUAGUUGGUGAGGUAACGGCUCACCAAGGCAACGAUGCGUAGCCGACCUGAGCGGGUGAUCGGCCACACUGGGACUGAGACACGGCACAGACUCCUACGGGAGGCAGCAGUAGGGAAUCUUCCGCAAUGGACGAAAGUCUGACGGAGCAACGCCGCGUGAGUGAUGAAGGCUUUCGGGUCGUAAAACUCUGUUGUUAGGGAAGAACAAGUGCUAGUUGAAUAAGCUGGCACCUUGACGGUACCUAACCAGAAAGCCACGGCUAACUACGUGCCAGCCGCCGCGGUAA